rnacentral:rRNA from 1 species
CCCAGACUCCUACGGGAGGCAGCAGUGAGGAAUAUUGGUCAAUGGGCGGAAGCCUGAACCAGCCAAGUCGCGUGAGGGACUAAGGCCCUGCGGGUCGUAAACCUCUUUUGCCGGGGAGCAACGGGCGUCACGUGUGGCGCCACUGAGAGUACCCGGAGAAAAAGCAUCGGCUAACUCCGUGCCAGCAGCCGCGGUAAUACGGAGGAUGCGAGCGUUAUCCGGAUUUAUUGGGUUUAAAGGGUGCGUAGGCGGUGCGUAAAGUCGGGGGAAAAGGCCGGGGGCUCACCCCCGGCGAGCCGUUGAAACUGGCGGGCUGGAGUUGGAGAGAAGUACGCGGAAUGCGCGUUGUAGCGGUGAAAUGCUUAGAUAUCGCGCAGAACCCCGAUUGCGUAGGCAGCGUACCGGCUCCACACUGACGCUGAGGCACGAAAGCGUGGGUAUCGAACAGGAUUAGAUACCCUAGUA